rnacentral:rRNA from 1 species
AUUGAACGCUGGCGGCAGGCCUAACGCAUGCAAGUCGAGCGGAUGAAGGGAGCUUGCUCCUGGAUUCAGCGGCGGACGGGUGAGUAAUGCCUAGGAAUCUGCCUGGUAGUGGGGGAUAACGUCCGGAAACGGGCGCUAAUACCGCAUACGUCCUGAGGGAGAAAGUGGGGGAUCUUCGGACCUCACGCUAUCAGAUGAGCCUAGGUCGGAUUAGCUAGUUGGUGGGGUAAAGGCCUACCAAGGCGACGAUCCGUAACUGGUCUGAGAGGAUGAUCAGUCACACUGGAACUGAGACACGGUCCAGACUCCUACGGGAGGCAGCAGUGGGGAAUAUUGGACAAUGGGCGAAAGCAUGAUCCAGCCAUGCCGCGUGUGUGAAGAAGGUCUUCGGAUUGUAAAGCACUUUAAGUUGGGAGGAAGGGCAGUAAGUUAAUACCUUGCUGUUUUGACGUUACCAACAGAAUAAGCACCGGCUAACUUCGUG